rnacentral:rRNA from 1 species
UACAGAGGUCUCAAGCGUUGUUCGGAUUCAUUGGGCGUAAAGGGUGCGUAGGCGGCGCGGUAAGUCGGGUGUGAAAUCUCGGAGCUUAACUCCGAAACUGCAUUCGAUACUGCCGUGCUUGAGGACUGGAGAGGAGACUGGAAUUUACGGUGUAGCGGUGAAAUGCGUAGAUAUCGGAAGGAACACCUGUGGCGAAAGCGGCUCACUGGACCAUAACUGACGCUGAGGCGCGAAAGCGUGGGGAGCAAACAGGG